UACGGAGGGUGCGAGCGUUAUCCGGAUUUACUGGGUUUAAAGGGUGUGUAGGCGGGCUGGUAAGUCAGGGGUGAAAUCCCGGAGCUCAACUCCGGAACUGCCUUUGAUACUACUGGUCUUGAAUAUUGUUGAGGUGGGCGGAAUGUGUCAUGUAGCGGUGAAAUGCAUAGAUAUGACACAGAACACCGAUUGCGAAGGCAGCUCACUGGGCAAUGAUUGACGCUGAGGCACGAAAGCGUGGGGAUCAAAC
rnacentral:rRNA from 1 species